GACGUAGGGCGCGAGCGUUGUCCGGAAUCAUUGGGCGUAAAGAGCGUGUAGGCGGUCCGGUAAGUCGGCUGUGAAAGUCCAAGGCUCAACCUUGGGAUGCCGGUCGAUACUGCCGGACUAGAGUUCGGAAGAGGCGAGUGGAAUUCCCGGUGUAGCGGUGAAAUGCGCAGAUAUCGGGAGGAACACCUAUGGCGAAGGCAGCUCGCUGGGACGUUACUGACGCUGAGACGCGAAAGCGUGGGGAGCAAACAGG
rnacentral:rRNA from 1 species